rnacentral:lncRNA from 1 species
AAAACGAAGAAACACGUUUCGUGAUCUAAGCAGGUCUUCGAUUAUCACCACUUGUGACUCAGCUUUUACUGCCGGCGAAACUCCACCUCCACCCAUCCGCACCACCGCAACGCUUCAUCGACGUAGCCAUCCCUGCAUCUAUAUCUUCAACACUAGUCGAACUUCGAUUAUUAUGUUGUACUUCCGCUUGUUCUUCCGCAAAUCAUCGCCAAAAGAGAUGCUGGAUUCUUUAAUUUCCACCGGAAUUAAAACUGGGAAUCACUGAUCGUCGCCUAAACACAUCAGAUAAAUUCCCCCAUCAACUCAAAAUCUCUCUCAAUAAAAGAGACUUCACCUCAUACAAGCCGAAGUUUACAUCGGAAAGGGAAGAUUGAUUCCUCUGAUGAUUAAAAUUUCGAGCAUGACCUGUGAAAUCAGACCCAAACAUUAUAGAGAAGCCUGAAAAUCCAGAAACUGCAAAUGGGCCAACACUAGAAGCAAUGGAGGAUCGACCAUUUGAUCUCAAGUCCAAUAAGCCCAGCACGUUUGAAGCACGUCAUCCGAAGCCGUCAAAGACCUACAAUAAAACCUGCAAUAACAACAUUAAGAAGAUAAAGUGUGGUCAACAAAAGCCAGAUCAUCCAGCUCAGAUUAUUUCUCUUGGAAAUCGAUUUAUGCCUCUUGAAUCUAGUGCUAUUACUUAUCAUUAAUCCAGAUGUAUUCUCUUAUAUAUAUCUAGUCGAUUGUAUGAGUUAUGUAAGUUAAAAAGUCAUAAUAAAAAUCAUUUCUUUUCAAUCUCUUUCUCUCUUUGAGAAAGAUUUCAUGGUAUCAGAGCCAUGGAGAGUUCUAAUUUGAUUCCAGUUCCUGCUGUGACUAUUUUACAGUGUGUAACAUUAAAGCUCUCCGAUAAGAAUUAUCUCUUAUGGAAGCUUCAGUUUGAAAAAUUUUUGUCCAGUCAAAAGUUGUUGGGGUUCGUCGACGGAAGCGUACCAUGUCCUCCAUCAAAAAUUCUUGUCCGUGACGGCGACAAGACAGAGGAGCAAGAUAAUCCAGAAUAUGGCAAGUGGCUCCACUCUGAUCAAAUGGUGAUGGCGUGGUUGGUUGGAUCUCUCUCUGAGAAUGCUCUCAAAAGUAUCUACGGUCUCAACACUUCACAUGAGGUUUGGCUCUCUUUGGCAAAGAAAUUUAAUCGUAUUUCUACUACUAGGAAGCUCGAUUUACAAAGAAAAAUCCAAACGACUACUAAGAAUCAGAAGUCGAUGGCUGUUUAUCUUGCUGAAAUCAAAUCCCUAUGUGAUCAAUUAGAUUCAAUUGGAUCACCGAUCUCUGAACAAGAGAAAAUUUAUGGCGUUCUAAAUGGCUUAGGGAAGGAAUAUGAGUCAAUUUGUACUGUUAUUGAGGAUUCAAUGGACUCAAACCCUACGAUCUGCUUUGAAGAUGUGGUAUUCAAACUUACUGGAUUUGAUGAUAAGCUCCAUGCUUAUGAAUCUUCUGAUGUUACACCUCAUCAAGCCUUUUACGCUAACAAAGGAGGAUAUAACAAAAAUUACAACACCAACAGAGGUGGAUAUUCUCGUGGAAGAGGUGCAAACAGAGGAGGCUUCUACAACAGAGGAGGAAGAAGUUCCUUUUCUACUCAUGGUCGUGGUUUUCAACAACAAUUCUCCACUGGUGCUAAUUCUGAUAUGCAGACUCGCCCUACAUGUCAGAUUUGUGGAAAGUUUGGUCAUUCUGCUCUUAAAUGUUAUAAACGGUUUGAUCAAGAAUAUCAGAGUCCCGAGUUGCAGAGUGCCUUUGCUGCAAUGAAAGUUUCAGAUGGUAACACUUCAUCAGGACAUGAGUGGUACCCAGAUACCGGUGCUACUGCCCAUAUUACCAACUCCACUGCUUCUCUGCAGACCGCUCAACCUUACACCGGCGAUGAUUCUGUAAUUGUUGGAAAUGGGGACUUUCUUCCAAUAACUCAUAUUGGUUCAGCUGUCUUGCCAAGUCUUCAAGGUAAUCUCCCUCUUGAGGAUGUCUUGGUAUGUCCCGGUAUUGCAAAAUCCUUAUUAUCAGUGUCUAAGCUAACAGCUGACUAUCCUUGUGCUUUUGAAUUUGACUCUGAUGGUGUCAUUGUAAAGGACAAGCAGACAAGACAGCUCCUCACCAAAGGAAGCCGACUUAAAGAUCUAUAUGUGUUGGAGAAUUCUCAGUUUUUAGCUUACUACUCUAACAGGCAGCAAGCUACAAGCGAUGAGGUGUGGCAUCAAAGGCUAGGGCACCCUCAUAAAGAGAUUCUUCAACAGCUAAUAAAGAAUAAAGCCAUAGUAAUAAAUAAAACCAGCACACGCCUGUGUGAUGCUUGUCAAAUGGGAAAGCUUUGCAGAUUUCCCUUUUCUUCUUCUGAUUUUAUUUCUACAAGACCUCUUGAACGUGUUCACUCUGAUAUUUGGGGUCCUGCACCCAUUGUUUCUUCUCAAGGAUUCAGAUAUUAUGUUAUUUUCAUUGAUCAUUUCUCGAGAUUCACCUGGUUUUAUCCUCUUCGGUUAAAAUCUGGUUUUUUCUCUGUGUUUCUCAACUUCCAACGGAUGGUUGAGAAUCAGUUUUCACAGAAAAUAUCUAUGUUUCAAUCUGAUGGAGGAGGUGAGUAUACAAGCAACAGAUUCGUGAAACAUUUAAGUGAAUGCGGCAUCAAACAACAAAUUUCUUGUCCUCACACACCUCAGCAAAACGGUCUUGCUGAACGCAAGCAUCGACACUUGAUAGAACUUGGACUUUCUAUGAUGUUUCAUAGCAGAUCUCCUCAGUACUUGUGGGUGGAAGCUUUCUUUACUGCCAAUUUUCUUGCAAAUCUUCUUCCCUCUUCGGUUUUGCAAGACAAUAAGAGUCCUUAUGAACUUCUAAUGCAGAAACCGCCAAUAUAUACUGCUUUGAGAGUCUUCGGGUGCACAUGUUAUCCUUAUCUUCGACCAUAUGCACAGAAUAAAUUUGAUCCCAGAUCUCUUCUCUGUGUUUUUCUCGGAUAUAAUGAGAAGUAUAAGGGAUACAGAUGUCUUCAUCCUCCAACUGGUCGGGUAUAUAUUAGCAGACAUGUGUUAUUUUCUGAAAAUCACUUUCCUUUCUCUGAUGUGUAUAAGGACUUUUCUUCAACACCAACUACUCCACUUCUGACUAGCUGGUUCAGGAGUCUUUCUCCAACUGGUGUUUCUGCCACUUCGUCAGAUCAGAAUUCACCAACUGAUGGUUGUAUCUCCUCGUCAGGCUCAAGUUCUGCUGCUUCUAGUUCUUCUGAAGGAACCAUUUUGCCUCUUGUUUCUUCUACUGUUGAGGAAGGAAUGAGUACUGGGUGUACGACAGACUUAGACUCUGUUCCUAUAGGCAACAGCUCAUUUCCUUCUUCUAUCAGGACAGAUAUACAAGAGACACCGAAUUUGACAUCUCCUUCACAUGAGUCUGUGUCUGCUACUGCUCCUCUUGCGCUUGUGCCUACUGCUGUUCCUCUUGAGCCUGUUAUCAGUAACGAUGAAGAAAUGGUAUCUACUUCUGGAGAUGGCCUUACUCCAUUGGCCGCCACUACUUCUACACACGCUAUGACCACCAGAUCCAAGGCUGGUAUACGAAAACCAAAUCCCAAAUAUGCCUUACACUCCGUAAGAACUAAUUAUCCUGAACCAAAGACAAUCAAAGCUGCACUACAAGAUCCAGGUUGGACUAAUGCAAUGGGUGAAGAGAUAGGGACCCUUCAUGUUACCGACACUUUUGAUCUUGUUCCACCUGUGCCAGGAUUUCAACCUCUUGGUUGUAAGUGGGUUUUCAAGACGAAGUUGAAUGCUGAUGGAUCUUUAGAUAAGCUUAAAGCGAGACUCGUUGCAAAGGGGUAUGAGCAAGAAGAAGGCAUUGAUUAUAUAGAGACUUAUAGCCCUGUUGUUCGUACUGCAACUGUUCGAGCUAUCCUACACGUUGCUGUUAUCAACAAAUGGGACAUAAAACAAUUAGAUGUCAAAAAUGCUUUCUUGCAUGGAGACUUGAAAGAAACUGUCUAUAUGGUCCAACCACCUGGCUUUGAAGAUCCAAAAAGGCCAGAUCACCUCUGCAAACUUAAGAAAGCUAUUUACGGACUUAAACAAGCGCCACGGGCUUGGUUUGACAAGUUCAGUUCUUUUUUGAUCAAGUUUGGAUUCUUUUGUGCAAUUGGUGAUGCUUCUCUCUUUGUUUACAUUCACGGUUCAGAUGUCAUGUUUCUCCUGCUGUAUGUAGAUGACAUGAUAUUGACUGGAAGCAACAAAGACUUGAUGCAGAAGCUUUUGAACUCUCUCAAUUUGGAUUUCAUGGUGAAAGAUAUGGGACAGUUACACUACUUUCUUGGUGUUCAAGCGUUCUUUCAUCCCAAUGGGCUUUUUUUAAACCAAGAAAAGUAUGCAACUGAUCUUCUUAUAAAUGCAGGAAUGAUUGAUUGUGCUCCUGUUGCUACUCCUUUGCCUCUGCAACUCGGGAAAGUUCCUGGCCAACAAGAACUCUUUUCUGAUCCUACCUAUUUCAGGAGUCUGGCAGGAAAACUGCAAUACCUUACUUUAACAAGGCCUGAUAUUCAGUUCUCUGUGAAUUAUGUUUGUUAUAAAAUGCAUGCUCCCACCAUUGCUGAUUUUAAUCUCCUCAAACGCAUACUGAGAUAUCUCAAAGGUACAAUAUCUUUGGGUCUUGAUUUGUCUGCAAAUACAGAUUGUACUUUGCGUGCUUAUAGUGACAGUGACUGGGCCGGGUGUCCUGAAACAAGGCGUUCAACAGGCGGUUUAUGCACAUUUCUUGGUUCCAACAUUAUUUCUUGGUCGGCCAAGAGACAUUCCACUGUUUCUAAGUCCUCCACUGAGGCAGAGUAUCGAACUCUCUCAAUUGCUGCCUCUGAACUUAAGUGGAUCUCUUCCCUGUUGUCUGAGAUUGGUGUUCCUCCGCCUGUAACACCAGAAAUGUACUGUGAUAAUCUAUCUGCGGUGUGCUUAACAGUGAAUCCGGUGAUGCACUCUCGUUCCAAGCAUUUUGAACUUGAUUGGCAUUAUGUCCGUGAGAGAGUGGCUCUUGGUUCGUUGGUGGUGAAGCAUAUUCCGGCUGAAUAUCAGCUUGCUGAUAUUUUUACUAAGUCUCUGCCCCACCGUGCCUUUGCUGACUUGCGGUUCAAACUUGGCGUUGUUUCUCCACCCACGCCAAGUUUGCGGGGGUGUAUAGAGAAGCCUGAAAAUCCAGAAACUGCAAAUGGGCCAACACUAGAAGCAAUGGAGGAUCGACCAUUUGAUCUCAAGUCCAAUAAGCCCAGCACGUUUGAAGCACGUCAUCCGAAGCCGUCAAAGACCUGCAAUAAAACCUGCAAUAACAACAUUAAGAAGAUAAAGUGUGGUCAACAAAAGCCAGAUCAUCCAGCUCAGAUUAUUCCUCUUGGAAAUCGAUUUAUGCCUCUUGAAUCUAGUGCUAGUACUUGUCAUUAAUCCAGAUGUAUUCUCUUAUAUAUAUCUAGUCGAUUGUAUGAGUUAUGUAAGUUAAAAAGUCAUAAUAAAAAUCAUUUCUUUUCAAUCUCUUUCUCUCUUUGAGAAAGAUUUCAAACAUAAACCUUUGGAAUUGGAAAUAAAAACUUGCAGAAGAUUGAGAUCUACACAAUAGUAAUCAGACCUCUUUUAUAUAUUAGAUUAUAUGUAUAAGUAUGAUCUUUCACAAUAGAAGUUAUUCUUUCUCUAUUAAGCUUGAUAAUCUUCUGGAUGACUCUUGUACCCCUUGUUCUUAUUCUUCUUCUUCGGAGACUCAUUCUUUCUUUUUAUUCUUUUUUGCUUCUUUGUAAGACCGUGAGACUCUUCUCUUGGUGGUGGUUAAAUCCUAGUUUCACCCGACCUCUUCUAAAGAUCAAUCCCAUAAACUCACCAAAUCGGAUUCUUGAAAAUUUAAAAGUAAAAAAAUGCUCAAAAAAACCUUAAAGUAAACUGAUUAAAGGAGGCUUUUUGAAGCCACAAUGCUCCUCCAUCU